rnacentral:rRNA from 1 species
CAAGUCGUAACACGGUAAGUGUACCGGAAGGUGCACUUGGAUCAAACCCAGGGUGUGGCUGAGUUAGUUAAGCAUCUCACUUACACCGAGAAGACAUCCAUGCAAGUUGGAUCACCCUGAGCCAAACAGCUAGCUUACCCACCAAAAUUAACCAAACAGUAUAAAUAAAAUAAAAUGGACAAAACACCAAAAACUAAACCAUUCUUUUACCUGAGUAUGGGAGACAGAAAAGGUUCAACCAAAGCAAUAGAAACAGUACCGCAAGGGAAAGCUGAAAGAGAAAUGAAACAACCCAUAUAAGCACAAAAAAGCAAAGAUUAAAUCUUGUACCUUUUGCAUCAUGAUUUAGCCAGUAAACCCAAGCAAAGAGACCUUUAGUUUGAAACCCCGAAACCAGGUGAGCUACCCCGAGACAGCCUAUUUAGGGCCAACCCGUCUCUGUGGCAAAAGAGUGGGAAGAGCUCCGGGUAGAAGUGACAGACCUACCGAACCUGGUGAUAGCUGGUUGCCUAGGAAACGAAUAGAAGUUCAGCCUCGUACACCUUAAAUCAAACAGACACAUAAACAAGAUAUCAAGAGAAAUACACGAGAGUUAGUUAAAGGGGGUACAGCCCCUUUAACAAAGGAUACAACCUUAUCAGGAGGAUAAAGAUCAUAAUAUAUAAAACAUACUGUUCUAGUGGGCCUAAAAGCAGCCAUCUAAACAGAAAGCGUA